AGCUUUGCGCAGUGGCAGUAUCGUAGCCAAUGAGGUUUAUCCGAGGCGUGAUUAUUGCUAAUUAAAUAAAUGUGUAUAAUAAAGUGUUAACAUUGCUAUGCUAGAAGUAAAAAUGUCUGCAAGGAUGGGAAGUGC
rnacentral:snRNA from 1 species